GACUAAGCCGUAAAUCGCAACCUCGUCAUCAUCCCCUCCUCCUCGAGUCGCGCGUAAGGAUCACCUCGAUCCUCCUCCCCAAACCCCCGCAAGCUCCGGAAGAAACGCGCGCAUCCUCUCGCUCUGCUGCUCGGUUCCGCUCCUCCACGCGCUCUCGAGAAAUGGUGGAGCGGAGGCGGCCUCUGGUCCUCUCCUCGACCAAAUCCCUCGUCGACUCCGUGCUCGGCCCGUCCCGCCCCGAGGGCGGCGGGCUUGUCCCCGACGGCGCGUCGCCGUCGCCGGAGCUGAAGCUGCCCGCCGGAAUCCUCCGGUUCGCGAGGGAGAGGGCCGAGGAGUCGGACCCGAGGUUGGCGAGGCUCGACGACGCGGCGCUGGUCGGGCUCUCGACGUCCGCUCUGAAGCGGCUCUCCAUGACUUCUGGCUCCCUGGUGCAUAUAAGGAAUCUCGACACGAACUCUGUGAGAAUGGCUCAAGUAGUUGUCCUCGAUCCUCCGUCCACACUUGAGCAUUCAGAUCAAGUAAAGCUUCCCUUUUCCCAGUGUGAAAAGGAAUUAUUGAUCUUCCCGUCGUGUAGUGUCCCUCCAACUAAGCCAGCUUUGCCAGAUCGUGAAGUAGCCUACUUGUCUCCUUUAUUAGCAUUCAACCUCGGUUUGCACCUGUCAUGCUUCAGAACCCUAGUUCACCAUGGAGAAGACGCUUUAACAUCCUUCUUCAGACCUAAGGUAGAUAAUGGAAUGUCGGAACAGGGUGGUGAAAUUCCAGUAAUUGACUUGGAGCUGAAACCUCUGGGACAAUUACCAAACUAUGCAUCACACUUGCGGAUUUCUUUUGUGAAGAUACCAGAAUGUGGCACCAUUGGAUCUCUGAAAGGAAGUUCAUCAGUUGAAGCUGAGGAUCGCCAAGAAAUGAUUGAUCUUGCACUCCAAAAGUACUUUGAAAUAGAUAGACAUCUAACGAUCGGUGAUGUUUUCAGUAUUAAGAUUAAAUGGAGUUGCAACUCAGUUAUUUGCAUUCGCUGCAGCCAAAAGUUGCCAAAUGAUGAUGUCAUCUACUUCAAGGUGGUGGCUAUGGAGCCAUCAGACAACCCUGUUCUUCGAGUCAACCGCACUAAAACUGCCCUUGUUCUUGGAGGGAAUGUCCAAUCUUGCAUUCCUCCAGAUUUACUUUGUGACCACCCAAAAACAUUUGCACCUUUGCAAGGAGAUACCGUGAAGAUUUUGGCCUCUGUGCUCACACCAUCUCUGUGUUCAUCAGCACUUGCUGUUAAAUUUAGAGUGGCUGUCUUGUUGUCUGGUUUGACAGGAUGUGGGAAGAGAACUGUAGUUAGGUUUGUUGCUCGCCGAUUGGGUCUGCAUGUAGUGGAGUUCAGCUGUAACAGUCUAAUGUCUUCCUCUGAGAAAAAAACAUCCAUUUCCCUAGCUGAAGCAUUCAACACUGCAGAAAGAUAUUCACCGUCAAUACUUCUCCUCUGCCACUUUGAUGCUUUUCGGAAUUUGGGAUCUAAUGAGGGUUUACCAAAUGAUCAAAACGGCAUCUCUUCCGAACUUGCAUCAGUCAUAAGGGAAUUCACUAUCCAAGAUAAUGAAGAUGAGGAUGUUUAUGCCUCAGAAAACUUGAAUGGUGAUUUGCAGGCUGGAAAUACUUAUGCACGUAAGGUGUUGUUAGUUGCAACUGCGGAUAGCACUGAAGGCCUACCUCCUACCAUUAGACGUUGCUUCAGUCAUGAGAUAACUAUGGGUCCUCUAACUGAGGAACAAAGGAUUGAGAUGCUUAGCCAGUCACUGAAGAGCAUUUCUGAUCUGCUGCCUAAUAGUAGUCCAGAAGAAUUUGUAAGAGAUAUAGUCGGACAGACAUCUGGCUUUAUUCCCAGGGACCUGAAUGCUUUAAUUGCCGAUGCUGGCGCAAACAUAAUGCCUGGGAGCAUUUUGCAUAAAAACGAAGUUGAUUCUGGGAAUAUGCAUCACAAAUCUGCAGAAGACAAAACUGUGCCAGAAAAUGAUGUAAAAGAGGCUGUAGAUCAGGUUCUCAGGAAAGAUGAUUUGGCCCAAGCCUUGGAACGGUCAAAGAAGAGGAAUGCAGUGGCUUUGGGUACUCCUAAAGUUCCUAAUGUGAAGUGGGAAGACGUUGGAGGUCUUGAGGAUGUAAAAAAAUCAAUUUUGGAUACUGUUCAGUUGCCUUUACUCCACAAGGAUUUGUUCUCUUCAGGAUUGCGCAAGCGAUCUGGUGUUCUUCUAUAUGGUCCUCCUGGAACCGGAAAAACCUUGCUGGCGAAGGCUGUGGCAACAGAAUGUUCCCUGAAUUUCCUUAGUGUGAAAGGACCUGAGCUUAUUAAUAUGUACAUUGGAGAGUCAGAGAAAAAUGUCCGAGAUAUUUUCCAGAAGGCAAGAUCUGCUCGUCCUUGUGUUAUCUUCUUUGACGAACUUGAUUCUCUGGCUCCAGCUCGUGGUGCUUCGGGAGAUUCUGGUGGCGUAAUGGAUAGAGUUGUUUCUCAGAUGCUUGCGGAAAUCGAUGGAUUAAAUGAUGACACACAGGAUUUGUUUAUAAUUGGGGCUAGCAACAGACCAGAUCUUAUUGAUCCAGCACUUCUAAGGCCAGGUCGAUUUGACAAAUUACUCUAUAUUGGGGUCAAUGCUGAUGCAUCUUAUCGUGAACGGGUCCUGAAAGCACUUACAAGGAAGUUUAAAUUGCAUGAAGAUGUAUCUCUAUACUCCAUAGCCAUGAAAUGCCCGCCAAAUUUUACUGGUGCAGACAUGUAUGCCCUGUGUGCAGAUGCUUGGUUUCACGCUGCAAAGAGCAAGGUUUUAAGUUCAGACGUAGAUUCUUCUUCCAAGGACCUUGCAGCUGACUCUGUGGUGGUUGAAUAUGAAGAUUUUGUGGAGGUCUUGGGAGAACUCUCCCCUUCCCUCUCCAUGGCUGAGCUCAAGAAGUACGAGUUGCUGAGGGAUCAGUUUGAAGGUCAUUCAAAAUAAAUUAAGGAAACCAUGGCGGACAGUGGAUUAUCAGUUCAUGUUAUGGGACCAAAUUUCACAUUUCAAGCAUACUAAGAGAGUCCUCCAUCGUGAGAACAGACUAGCCAACCUCUGACCUUUCGGUCGUGGAUGCUAUAGAGCAAUUAUAGCUUAAAGCGAGCAUUCCCUACCUGGUGUCCUGUCCUUAUAGUAAUAUCCAGAGGGAGUCGCUAGUGCUAGUUGCCCCCUUCUACCCUUUUUCCAAUAAAAAACCGGUGAAUUAAUUUUGGAGCAUGCGUAAUAGCCUGAUUAAAGGAUGACCAUUGCUUCAGUUGGUCCUGGAUCAGCGCAUAUAAUCCUGGAACGAUUGCUCUAGAUUCAACAUCACAGGGCGGGGGCAUCAUUCAGUUUGAGAGAUUUGACGUUCCUGGCACUAUCUGAUUCUCAAUCACUGAGCCUGCACCAUCCCACUCCACUGGGAGCCGAAAGCAGACAUAGAAUUCAUGGAUAAGAGCGGAACCGGAGAAGGCAACCAGCGGUUAGCCGCUUUGUCCCAGUUCUUCAUGGUACCGGUGGGACAUUUCUUAAUCUCAGGAAAUGUAGUCGAUUUUUAGUAGCGGCACAUAGUCAUCAAGGCAACAGUCAAUAAUUAUCACCUCUCAUAUGAAGUUACCGAUUCUCAUGGUAUGAAAAUUACUAAUUUCUCCAGCAAAUUACCAAAUUUCAUUUGUUUGUCUUACGGACAAUUUGGAUUUACUAACUUUAAAUAAAAUUGUCAUCUCAUUCACUGA